GUCGAGCGAGACCUUCGGGUCUAGCGGCGGACGGGUUAGUAACGCGUGGGAACGUACCCUUUUCUACGGAAUAGCCUUUGGAAACGAAGAGUAAUACCGUAUACGCCCUUCGGGGGAAAGAUUUAUCGGAGAAGGAUCGGCCCGCGUUAGAUUAGAUAGUUGGUGGGGUAAUGGCCUACCAAGUCUACGAUCUAUAGCUGGUUUUAGAGGAUGAUCAGCAACACUGGGACUGAGACACGGCCCAGACUCCUACGGGAGGCAGCAGUGGGGAAUCUUAGACAAUGGGCGCAAGCCUGAUCUAGCCAUGCCGCGUGAGUGAAGAAGGCCUUAGGGUCGUAAAGCUCUUUCGCCAGGGAUGAUAAUGACAGUACCUGGUAAAGAAACCCCGGCUAACUCCGUGCCAGCAGCCGCGGUAAUACGGAGGGGGUUAGCGUUGUUCGGAAUUACUGGGCGUAAAGCGCACGUAGGCGGAUUAGAAAGUUAGAGGUGAAAUCCCAGGGCUCAACCCUGGAACUGCCUUUAAAACUCCUAGUCUUGAGUUCGAGAGAGGAAAGCAGAAUUUCUAGUGUAGAGGUGAAAUUCGUAGAUAUUAAGAAAGAAUACCAAUUGCGAAGGGCAGCUUUUCUGGAUCAUUACUGACACUGAGGAAC
rnacentral:rRNA from 1 species